rnacentral:lncRNA from 1 species
AACUCCAACUCUUUUGUCAUCUGUUACAUGAAAUAUCUGUCCUUAUUUUGAGAAGCCUAGGUGCCAAGACAAAUUUAAGGUCCUGGGAUUCAGCUUCCCUUCCAAGUUUUCACUCUCCACCGCAGCUGCCCCCCAUCCUUCCCUUCGAUGACGACGUUUGCAGGCUUCAAGGGGACCAGGGAACAAAGCUGGGGCCUGGCAGCCCCACUAUGCUGCCAGCCGGGGAGAACUAGUCACAAGUACAAAUUAUCACAACAAUUAGCGCCUUUACUUGGGCGAUCUGCAAAUUGAGGAGGCCCCAGCUCCUCCUUGUACGGGGGUCUAUUUUGCAGUGACCUUGCUCUGGAGACGAUGAUAUUCCUUCAGCCUGAGGGAAUUGAUGUUGAUGAACCCGGUGGCAUCAAUUGGCUCAUAAUCAC